UUGAAUAUCUUGUAACGCAUCUAUAGUUUUGCGGAAUUUGUGACAUCUAGAUAGAACAUCUACCCAUUUAUCAAUUCAACCUCCAGUGUCCAAGCCAUGCUGAUAUUGAUGAGAGGAUAGACAUCUGAUGUCUAGGAUUCACUCGAUGUCUUGUGGAUUCACUCUUUAUGCAAUCAUUUAAGUCUACCAUGGUUUGCAUGAGCAAAUCUGAUAACCCUUUAUUAAGCUACCUUAAUGAUGAUUUAAGUGUCAGGCUAAUUUUAACGAAUUUGAUUGAACUGGUGAUCCUAUCAGGUUGUGUUCUUCAUAAACAUUAUUUGUUGACAUUCCGAUGUUUUGUGCCAUGUUCCAAUUGUUUUUUUUUUUCAUUUCAGUUUUGUCGGUAUGCACUAUUUGAUGGUAUAUAUAUUAUGGGAAAUAUCUUUUCAUAUGCCAUGGAUGGACCUAGGAUUGAAUAUUAUAUAAUUUAAUUAACCCCAGUUUAUGUUGAUCUUAGCCAUGAAAUCGUUGGCCUUUUGGGACAUACAAGUAGUACUAUCUACUUUUCUGCUUUUGCAGGCUGAUAUCCGUGACAAAGAUGGACUGGAACAGGUUUUCGCUUCAGCAAGAUUUGAUGUUGUUAUUCAUUUUGCUGGACUGAAAGCUGUUGGAGAAUGUGUGCAAAAGCCAUUGCUCUGCCUCUAUUAUGAUCAUAAUGUUGUUGGUACAAUAAGUCUUCUGGAAAUUAUGUCAGCUCAUGGAUGUAAGAAGCCUUGAUGAAUAAACGACAACUUUAUCCCCUCGGUGUAGAUGCUUAGGAUGCAAAGUUCAGUCGUAGGAUUGAGACUGAGCUGAUUCAGAGUUGCAAGCGAACCUUUUUAUGCCACCAUAAUUCAUUUCUCUUUCUCUUUUCUAUGACGAAGAACACAAUCGUCUUUUCUAUGACCAGCAACAAUAUCUACUCUGCAGUAAUUGUUUGCUAACCUUUAUUUAUUGCUAUUCUGUUUUCUGCAGGGAAGGAUCGUGAUCUAUCCAAAAAUUGAGGAGGUGAAGGAUAAAUCUAUUUCUUUGUUUUUACAUCCAACUGUAGCAUCAGUGCUGUAAGCAGAGACAUUCAGUUCCAACAUUGGUCUGGGUUCUGUGAUCAAAGGUAAUCAUGUCACAGUGCUAUUCAGUUCAAAUAUUACACAAUCACUAUCUGUUAAUUAUCUUCACACAGAUUCCUAAUUUGCUAUAGUUUAGUUCUAUUGCCAUCACCUCUAAUGGUCCAUCACUUAGGUUUAUGGUUUGUUAAGGGGAUUCAAUUGUCCGACCUCUCUGAUUGCUUUCGGGCUUGCUGUAUAUUGUAUUCUUUUAUCAAACUUGUACUUUCAAUAUUUAUUAAUAAUAAAUGGAGCAUGAACUUACUUCUGAUGAUGUUUUACUUUUGGUAGAGCUCCAAACAUGCACUGUUUGCCUUUGCUUCUUAUGUUAUCUUUAAGCUAUGGUUGUCAAUCAUGUUUUCCUGAUGAAGUAGUAACUCUCUUGAAGCCUUGUUGGGCACCUUUGAACCAUUUUAGUUCUUUUUCACCCAGAAGUGAUCUGUCAUUGUUCAUGGGCAGUCCCAGACUCCAAGUCCAGUUUCACAUCAAGGUUGCGCUAACUACUUCGUUUCUUAUAGGAUGGGAUGAGGGAGUUAUGACCAUGCAAGUGGGUGAAGUUGCUCAUAUCCAGAUAAUGGUAGGAUGAGAAUGUGGACCCUAAUGAAUGCCUUCGGCAAAAAAGGAGACAAAGGUACGCUACUAUAUCAGAGGAAGAUAAGGAGAAAUGCGUGAAAACACAUGAAAAUUAACAACAGAGGAAGCCAAAUUCCAUGAAUCAGAAACAAAGCCCAACAAAGAGCCAAUCGAUUGAUGUUUCCGAAACAAACACAAGUGGCAGUAUAACCCAGAGUCCCAGACACCAAUAUUGAGCAGAUUGGGAGCAACCAUAAUUUUUGUUGGCUGCUAGAGUUGUGUUUGGAUCAAGAAAGCUUAAAGAUAGAGAGAUGAUGCUGUGUGCGUGUUUGGUUUCUCGCCAUGAGUCGCCUACAUUUCGUAGACCUCCUCUCUUUCAUAGAAGCUUGCACGCACAAGCAAUUCAUAAUUCCACCCAUUGCUUGUAUUAAUACUGUUGUAAGUACAAAUUAAUGUGAUAUUAACAUAUGUGGUUUGUCAAGUGGAUUAUUAAA